rnacentral:misc_RNA from 1 species
GAGCAGUACAGUGGAUAUCGUCAACAACAAAGUCAACCUGAUCCGACGGUGGAAAAUUCAGAUCAAAAGGUAAAGGCUUUCGGGAGCACAAGGAAGAGGACGAUGCAAUAUCUCCAUCAUCAACCACCGACGACGACGAAUCACAAUCGCUCUGACAAUCGUCCGGCACUAUCUGUGGAGUCCGACGAUGGAUUUUCUUCGGAGCCGUCGCCGCCAACAAAAGCCCCGAUCUUUUUGUUGCUGUUGCUGUUGCUGUCGCCGGCAGCCCAGGACCGCUGAAAGAUUCCACCGUACUGCUCUGGCUGCUAGAUGUGGGUCUCUGAGGAUUUACGUGAUGCUCAUCAAACCCAUUUGCUGAAUAUACCCUGUAAUCC